CAGUAGCCGCGGGAAAACGUAGGUGGCAAGCGUUGUCCGGAUUUACUGGGCGUAAAGCGCACGUAGGCGGCUUUGUAAGUCAGAGGUGAAAGCCUGGAGCUCAACUCCAGAAUUGCCUUUGAGACUGCAUCGCUUGAACGUCGGAGAGGUGAGUGGAAUUCCGAGUGUAGAGGUGAAAUUCGUAGAUAUUCGGAAGAACACCAGUGGCGAAGGCGGCUCACUGGACGACUGUUGACGCUGAGGUGCGAAAGCGUGGGGAGCAAACAGGAUUAGAUACCCGGGUAGUCCCUGUCUCUUAUAC
rnacentral:rRNA from 1 species